AUGGGGAGGAGUUUAAGAGCGGGACGCCAUGCAGAACUGGAAGACUCUGUGGCAGAUCCUGUCAGCGAAAAGCAAGCCUUCAGAGGGUGGAAGCAGUAUGUGAAAGAACUCAACUCGAACACACUCCCGCCAUUUCUCACCCGCCUUUGUGACCCUGACAAGCCAUGCUCAUACUCUGAGGAGGAGCUCUUAUGCGUGUUUGAGACUGCUGCCGAAGUCCAUGGCUGCAACAUUGUGCCACAUAUCAGCCAGAUCGUUUCAGCCAUCAUUAGAAUCAUGUCAUCAGUCACAGGGUCCUUGCAUAGUGUUGGUUGCUCCAAGGUGAUACGCACAUUAUCGCGCUAUGUCAUUGAUCCCCUGGGAACAGAAGAAGAGAAAAGUGGGAUCAUCAGCUCUCUCUGCAGUCCCUUUUCUGGUUGCUUGAUGAGCACCAAGGAGAGUGUAUCUUCUGGUUCUGCUCUCUGCGUCACUGCACUUAUCCAGUCCAACAAUUGGCAAUUUGCAUCUCAUGAGUUAGUUAACGACAUCUGCUUAAAAGUCUCAGGGGCCUUAGAGGAGGUAUGCUGCCAGACCAUUUCACACUUAGGCUUAGUGGUUGCUCUAUUAGAACAGAACUGGUUGACACUUGAGCCUUAUGGGCGGUCUUUGAUAAGAUCAGGCUUAAGUAUAUUGGACAAGAGUACUAAAGCAAGCAAUUCUCAGAUGAUCAUAUCAUCCAUUCAAAUGAUACACUCCAUCAUGAAGACUCUGGAUUUGAGCAUCAUAUCUUCUGAGAUCAGUAGCAUUAUCCAAGCUAUGGAGCAAUUGCGGAAUAAUCGCAUGCCAGAGAUCAGCACUCCAGCUUUUCAGGCAGCUGAGACUGCUAAUAAACUGUACAAGCAGGAAGAGUGUGGACAUGGCAAAAAAAUUAGUCCAUUGGCAAAAUUUCAUGAUGGAAGACAUAGGAGGAGGGGAUCAUAUUCACAUUCUGUUAUGGAUGAUGCGGAGAUAAGAGACUGCGGUUCGAAUGAAUCUCUGUACGAUGAUACACAAUCUGUUAAUCGGUUCAGAGAGCAUGAUUCCCAACCUUCAGUGGGGCAAUACUCAGGUGUACCUGUAAGUGCACGGGUAAGGAGGCGACUGUUGAGCAAUGGUUCUGACAGACCACAUCAAAUGUCCAGUGAUGAGUUUCCUCGCACUAUUGUAUCUGAUUAUCGUGAUGGUGUCGGUGUGAUAGCACAAUAUGGUUCUGCUGGUCUGCUAGAUAAAUCAGUGAGGAGGUAUUCAGAUGUAUCAACAAGGAUUGCUGAUCCAUGCCCUAUGUGUUUAACACCCCGAACUACUAAUCGAUGCUCUCAGAUAUCAAGGCGAGGAACUUUCUCAGAAGACGUUUGGAUGCAGUCAACCCCAAGGAAGCAGCUCCAGUUUCAUAGCUCUAGCAGUGAAUCAAAAAGAGAUACUCACAGAUUACCGGACAGCCCAUCUCUGAGACCGAUACGGCACUGUUCAGGACAAUGUACAAAUGGUGAAGUUGAGGAAAGGAACGGCUACUGUGAUUCUGUUCAGCAUGACAGCCAGUGUCAUGUACAGAGCAACGAUACCUCGAUAGAAGAUCUGAAGCUACCACCAACCAACAGUGAGCGUUCUGACAGUGCAGGCAAAUCUCGAAGCGAAGAAUGUCAAGCUCAGAACGAGAAGAUGACCAGAGUCAGGAAAAGGAGCAGAAACUGCUCUGGCACCCUACUUUUUCUCCUUGUCUGUGCUGUGGUGAUACCGGUUGUUGCGCUCUUGCUAGCUUGGUGGAAGGAGGAUCAGAGGGAGCUGUAUGUUGUACCCACGUAG
rnacentral:rRNA from 1 species